rnacentral:rRNA from 1 species
GACAGAGGGUGCAAACGUUUGUUCGGAAUUACUGGGCGUAAAGCGAGUGUAGGCGGUUCGAUAAGUCGGAUGUGAAAGCCCCGGGCUCAACCUGGGAAUUGCAUUCGAGACUGAAUAGCUAGGGUACGGUAGAGGGAAGUGGAAUUUCCGGUGUAGCGGUGAAAUGCGUAGAUAUCGGAAGGAACAUCAGUGGCGAAAGCGACUUCCUGGACCAGUACUGACGUUCAGGCACGAAAGCGUGGGGAGCAAACAGG